rnacentral:rRNA from 1 species
CAAUUGGGGUUAACCCUCGCCCAAAUUCCUAGGGAGGCACCAUGGGAAUUAUACCCCAAUGGCCCAACCUUAAUCAAGGACCCCCCCGGGGAAUAAAGCCUUCCGGUUUUGAAAUCCUUUCACCCGUUUUUAACCUUAUGUGACGGUAGUGGUAGAAGAAGCUCCGGCUAACUACGUGCCAGCAGCCGCGGUUAUACGUAGGGUGCGAGCGUUGUCCGGAAUUACAGGGCGUAAAGAGCUCGAAGGUGGUUUGUCGCGUCGUCUGUGAAAUUCCGGGGCUUAACUCCGGGCGUGCAGGCGAUACGGGCAUAACUUGAGUGCUGUAGGGGAGACUGGAAUUCCUGGUGUAGCGGUGAAAUGCGCAGAUAUCAGGAGGAACACCAAUGGCGAAGGCAGGUCUCUGGGCAGUAACGGGGGUUCUGAAGAGCGGAAUCAUGGGUUGCGUACAUGGUUAGAAAGGCUAGUAUUACAAGCCGAAAACCUUGGGCGCUCCGCGCGGGGGUCGUCCUCGACAUCAGUGCCGUAACUUACGCAAUAAGCCCCCCGCCUGGGGAGUACGGGCGCAAGGCUAAAACCCAAAGGAAUUGACGGGGGCCCGCACAAGCCGGCGGAGCCUGUGGAUUAAUUCGAUGCACGCGAAGACCUUACCUGGGCUUGACAUAUGCCGGAUCGGCGCAGAGAUCCCUUUUCCCUUGUGGCGUAUACAGGUGGUGCAUGGUUUUCGUCCCUCGUUUCCUGAGAUUUUGGGGUAAGUCCCGCAACGAGCGGAACCCUUGUCUUGUGUUUCCAGCACGUUAUUGUGGGGACCCGCGAGAGGCCUUCCGGGGUUAACCCGGAGGAAGGUGGGGAUGACGUCAAAUCAUCAUGCCCCUUAUGUCCAGGGCUUCACACAUGCUACAAUGGUCGGUACAGUGGGGUUGCUACACCGUGGAGGUGGUGCUAAUCCCUUAAAGCCGGUCUCAGUUCGGAUUGGAGUCUGCAACUCGACUCCAUGAAGUCGGAGUCGCUAGUAAUCGCAGAUCAGCAACGCUGCGGUGAAUACGUUCCCGGGCCUUGUACACACCGCCCGUCACGUCAUGAAAGUUGGUAACACCCGAAGCCAGUGGCCCAAACUCGUUAGGGAGCUGUCGAAGGUGGGAUCGGCGAUUGGGACAAAUCUAACAAGGUAGCCGUAGAAA